GCCCUAAUUGCGGCGCGUCUGCAGCGUGCAGCGGUAGUUGGCUGCCCUGCGCCUAGAGCCAGGAUCACACUCUAUUAAUGUCUGGGAAACUGCCCGAUGGAGGGGGAUAACUACUGGAAACGGUAGCUAAUACCGCAUAACGUCGCAAGACCAAAGAGGGGGACCUUCGGGCCUCUUGCCAUCGGAUGUGCCCAGAUGGGAUUAGCUAGUAGGUGGGGUAACGGCUCACCUAGGCGACGAUCCCUAGCUGGUCUGAGAGGAUGACCAGCCACACUGGAACUGAGACACGGUCCAGACUCCUACGGGAGGCAGCAGUGGGGAAUAUUGCACAAUGGGCGCAAGCCUGAUGCAGCCAUGCCGCGUGUAUGAAGAAGGCCUUCGGGUUGUAAAGUACUUUCAGCGAGGAGGAAGGUGUUGUGGUUAAUAACCGCAGCAAUUGACGUUACUCGCAGAAGAAGCACCGGCUAACUCCGUGCCAGCAGCCGCGGUAAUACGGAGGGUGCAAGCGUUAAUCGGAAUUACUGGGCGUAAAGCGCACGCAGGCGGUCUGUCAAGUCGGAUGUGAAAUCCCCGGGCUCAACCUGGGAACUGCAUCCGAAACUGGCAGGCUAGAGUCUUGUAGAGGGGGGUAGAAUUCCAGGUGUAGCGGGGAAAUGCGUAGAGAUCUGGAGGAAUACCGGUGGCCGA
rnacentral:rRNA from 1 species